GACGAACGCUGGCGGCGUGCCUAACACAUGCAAGUCGAACGGAGCAGAUCCCUUCGGGGGUUUGCUUAGUGGCGAACGGGUGAGUAACGCGUGAGGAACCUGCCUUUCAGUGGGGGACAACAGUUGGAAACGACUGCUAAUACCGCAUAUGCCUUAGUAACACAUGUUACAAAAGGGAAAGGAGCAAUCCGCUGAUAGAUGGGCUUGCGUCUGAUUAGAUAGUUGGUGAGGUAACGGCUCACCAAGUCGACGAUCAGUAGCCGGACUGAGAGGUUGAACGGCCACAUUGGGACUGAGAUACGGCCCAG
rnacentral:rRNA from 1 species